CAUUUGUCACAUUUUGCAUUGUGUAAAUGAGCCUAUCAUAGCGGUUUCAGAUGUCUCUUGGCGAAAGGUUUGUGACUGCAUGAAUAUAUGGAUUACCUUGGAUGGAAAGGAGAAAGAAAUAGCUUCCAAAUUCGACAGCACAGCUCGUGACACUGCAGGUUAUCACCGGUACUGCUACCAGCGGUUUACAAACAAGAAACAUCUGGAUCAAGGUAUCAAGCGAAGAGAUAAAGGGUGUUUACGACGUGAUAGUGGAGAGACAGAUGUGCCUAGUGGUGAACCAUCCCCUAAAAAGGCAAGACUUGUUCUUAGAUCAAAAGUAACUACAGCACAAAAUGUAUCAAGGCGAUCAAAGCAUGUGCUUCCCGAGGAGUGUAUCAUCUGUAAGAAGGCUAAAGUUAUUGUUGACAAAACAUCCUUGAAGAGAAAACAAGAGGCCCUUGUUACAUGUGAGACAACUGCUGACAAACUGUUACAGGCGGCACGACUGAAAGGAGAUGACCAGAUUUUAGUACAGAUUGGGGACUUAGACCCGGUAUGUAUAGAAGUGCGGUACCAUGCAUCAUGUUGUAAACUUUACACUAAAUGUGUAUAUAAUCAGAAUGAUUCACUUGGACGGCCUCUAAACAAAGCCUUUGACAAAUUCUGCACAGAAGUAAUUGAGAAACGUAUUAUGGGAAAGGGAGAAGUACUUCGAAUGAAUUUGCUCACAAAACUCUUUGUUACAUUUGCACAGCAAGUAGAGGAUGUUGAUAUUACUGGAUAUCGGAAUGAUCAGGUCAAGUUGAGACUAAUAAGAAGGUACCCACUUCUGAAGUAUGUUCAGCCAGAUGCAACUACAUGUGAAUUUGUUUUUCAUCAAGCACAAAAUGAAGACACUUUUAUUCAGUUCAGUGAGCAUGAAUUGGAGAACCUAUAUUCUGACAGUGAAACAGAAAGUAAUAGUGACUCUCAGGUAUUGGAACAUGAGGUGCUCAGCAACCAAUCAUCUUCAGAACACUCCUGUCAGGAAGAAUUUGCACAAAUCUAUCGUGCUGCUAUCAUCAUUCGAAAAGCUGUUGCUUCUUCACCUGGUGUCUCUAUGUGGCCUCCCAGUGAAGAGAAUUUUUCAUUACAUGAGUGCCAGAGAGUAGUUCCACCAGUUCUCUUUAAUUUUCUGGCAUGGUGUUGUGGAAUCAGUGAAGUGAAGUUUAGUCCAAGGCUGGUAGAGAUGGAACGAAAUGACAACAAGAAAAAGAUACUUUCUCUAGCACAAGACAUAAUUUGUCUUGCCUCUAUGGGGAGAAAGCUUAUGCCAAAACACUUAGCUUUAGGUGUGACUUUAAGACACCUUACAGGUUCUGCAAAAUUACAGCAGCUACUUAACUCCUUUGGACACUGUGUUUCCCACUCUGUGACUCUUGAGCAUGACACAGCUUUGGCCACAAGACAAUUACAGCGUGAAACGGAUGUUCCGACUGGAUUUUGCAGCAAUGUGUUCACCACUCAAGUGUGGGAUAACAAUUUUGGUGAAGAAACUCUGUCAGGUUUCACUGAAGCAGGUAUAUCAUGAACAUGCAAGGGUACAACCCACAACACAAAUGGCAUUAUAAUACAGACUGCCAGUUCUGAUGCCCCAGGGAGCCCAGAGGAAAUUGCAAGAAUGAGUCGGGACAGGAAACGAACAAUUGAUGCACCAUCUUCGGUGAUAGUUCCUUUCCAGGGAUCAAAAAGAAAAGGACCAUCACAGUUUCAAGGCAAGAAGCCAGAUUUAUCCCGGAAACUGAAUGUUCAAGAAAAAGCAAAGAAGAUUGAUCAAGCAUUGGUUCUUGCCAAGUUCGGCCAAGAUCAAUUUCUGCUUCCUGGUUGGACAGUCUGUAACCAGCUAUUGACGAAUGAUGCACAUCCUCUGAGUACCAUUGGCUAUCUUCCCGUGAUAGAUGCAAGUCCUACUGACAAGUCAACUGUCAAUGCCAUUCUGGAGAAGAGUUUAUUAAUUGCCAAUUCAUUAAACCUUUCUGCUAUA
rnacentral:misc_RNA from 1 species